GUAACUUGCAGUUCACAAGCUUUUGAAGUUGCUUCCAUUUAUUUCGUUGUUUUAAAACAUGUUUGCAUGUUUGAUCUUGUCCUGGCUGUGGUCUUCCAAAACUCUCAAUGUAUUUCUCAGCUGUGGCACUGGGGUUGUUUUUUUUCUUUUUAACUGAGGUGGUUUAAAAAGGCAGAUAGAGAAGGAAUAAAAGACUUGGUGUCUCUUCCAUCUGGUCCUGUGACCUUUUUUGUCUUUAGGUGAGAUGUUUGGAGACUCCCAUUACUUUUGGAGCCAAGCAGAACCCAAACAAGAGGAAAACUUUUCUACUGAGCAGUGAUACACUGAACAGAGAUUUCCUUCUGAUGGCCAGAUUUAUCUACCCUGUAAUAGAAGUAAAAGUGUUCCUGCUCCACUGCUUACAAUUUUUCUAACUGGGCUUCUGUAACUGUAGCACAGAAAAGGCAUGGGGAGAAACUUGGAACAGAUAUUCUCAUUCUCUUAGCUAGCCCAUUUUACAUUCUUACCUGGUUUGCAAUUUAAAGAGUUGCUGACAGAGGGCUUGUGUAGGCUGCAAAUGCACCAGUGCUAAACAUGGGUUAACUGGAAGUCAUCACUGGAGUUUCACCUUUGAAGCUGAAUGUGCCUUGAGGACAUAUCUUCUGCUCCAGACUUCAAGAGUGUGCCCUCAUCUGUGCCUGUAGGAACCACAGGUAAGCUCCAAAUACACUUUGUCCUCUCACUAUCUAUCUGCAAUUAAAGUGCUUGUUUUAAAACCUUAUGGCAUGGCCUGUUGUACCUAGCAAAACCUUUGAAAUGGUGUUUCUCCCCUCUUGUAUCUCAGUAGUACUGUAUUCAUCAUAAACUCCCAGUCACUGUAGAUACCUGAAAGAAAGCAGUGUCCCAGCUUGAGGUCAGAGUACAAGUUUUAUUAUGCUUUUAAGUAGUGAUAGCAUUUUCUUAUUUCUAGAACAGCAUAUGACAGACACAUCUGCUUGUAAACAUACGGGAUGUUUUUCUUAACACUGCUGAUUCUCUGCUAUUCUUUCCUUCUGACAAUUCAGCAAACAGAAGGCAGGUGUGAGGACUUUUGGCAAUAAAGUUUGUGGAACUUGUUAUUAAAAAAACAAAACACAAUUAAAUGGUGGUCUUUGUUACAUGAGAGAGUGAGCUGCAUGCAGAACUCAAUGGGGAAUUUUUGAGACGGAGAGUGCACAGAACAAACCAGGGUUUUAUCUCCCCUUGUAUCUUGUAAUUACGAUUGGAAAAGACCUGACCCUCAAAAGGCAGGUUCCUUUAGUCACUGGGGAAACCUUGUGUCUAUCAUCAUAGACUGGUUUGGGUUGGAAGGGACCUUAAGGAUCAUACAGUUCCAACCCCUCUACCAGAGAGGCAGGGCCACCUGCCGUUAGACCAGGUUGCUUAAAGUCCUGUCCAACCUGGCCUUGAACACUUUCAGGGAUAGGGCAGCUACAGCUUCUCUGGGCAACCUCUGACAGUGUCUCACCACCCACAUAGUGAAAAAUUUCUUCCUAAUAAAUAUCUAAUUCACUGUAAAAUAGCAAGUCCCUAUUUCCAUGAGAAAAAUUCCACCUCUGGUCAGUCAGUGCAGCAGCUCCAGGUUAAUAGAAACUGGAAGCCAGAUGGGUCUGGCUGCAAAAGGGUGCUGGGUUCAUUUCUUUGUGCAGGAUGGAGCUUGUGAAUGUAACUGUGUCAGCACUUCAUUUGUCAGUUGCAGUUGCCCAGGCUAAGUGAGCCAAAUUACUCAUUGUUGGACAUUCCUUAUGGUUCGUGUAAGUAGCUGCUUUCUGGCUCAAGCCAUCCUAUUUGCUGCAUCUUCCACAUUCAUAGAGCUUGAUGAAACCAAAUUUCUAGAUGCAUGAAGGAAGAUGUCCUAUUACACUGUUGGUUUAUGUUACUUAGACUUGUUUCUAGAUGAGCAGAGGCUAAUCUCUAAGGACAUCACUGCACCAGCACCUAUCUGAGAUUAAAAUGCAAGAAAUACUUGCAAUCAAACCAGUUUAAUUCAUGUAUAUUUGUACAAUUUGUAUAAAAAAGAAAAAAAAAUAGGUACUUGCAGACAUUAACAUAAAGACCAAACAGUAUUUUCUAUUUAUUUAAAAAGCUUUAAACAUACAGAAGCAAAUCCCUAAUUAUAAAUGCAUCAUUAUGCAUAGAUUUUACUGUUUACACCAUACUGCUGGCUGCUUUUCUUUUUCAUCCAGGAAUCUAUUUAAACUCCAAGAAUUCUUAAACAUUCCUCUGAGCUUCCUGGCCUCAGAACUGCUGUCUAUCAAUCAUCUUAUCAAGUCAUUGACCUCCAGCUGAAAACAUUGCUCUAAAAAAAGAAAGAGUCAAAUCUUUAAUAAACAAUUAAAAGUGCAUUAACUGUAGAAUUGUUUAAUUUCAUAAAUGUUUAAACAAGUCAGUGAAAAACACCACCCUGUGAAUUAGCUUUUUGCAUUAUUGAUUGUAAAGUUACUUUUUUAAUAAGAUUCUGCUAUUGCAAACCGUAGUCUCUUCUAGUUUACUCUGCGCAACCACUGAGUCGCACACCGUGUAGUAUUCCUGAAAUACCCACUGCAGAACAUUUAACACUAUUUUACAUUUUUAACUGUGUAUACAAUCCGCUUGCUCCAUAUCCCUGUUCCUUCUUAACACCAAAAUAAUUCAGCUCAAUGAACAGAAGCCCACUCCUAAAAGGUCUUUUAGGUUAUGUCUUGUAUUUUGCAGGAGACAAAUGCCUAUUUCACUCUAAACAAAUGCAAAAGAAGGGAACUUUCCCUGGCAGCUAAAAACUAGGGUUGUUGGUUUCUUUCUUUUUCUUUGCUGUACACAGGUUUAGAUAAAAAAAGUGAUGGCUAUUCUGCUUAAGUGUCCUUGCUAAGAGAAUACUGCCUCUUACAACAUCUAUAUCCAAUUAUAUCUAUUAUUUCAAUGAUCUCUUGCAAAAAAUAAUAAUCAAUGAAUGGUUUCAUAAACAACAGGUGAUUAAAGUAAAGGAUUUAUUAUAAUCUGCUUACAGUUGUUUGCAAAGACAGACAUAACGUUUUUGCAUAAAGAUAUAAAUUGCUUUUUAAAACUAAUUUAGUGUGUUUAAUUAUAUGAAGUUUCUGUGAAUUAUGAAUUGUACCAAACCAAGAUUAAAAGUAAUAAGGUACAAAAAUAGGAGCAAACAGACAACAAUUUGGACUGGGACAGGCAUUUAACAGUGAAGUGUAGAAUAUGGCUUUGCUAGUUUAAUCAAGCAAAGUUACUCUGAGACAGAAAAGGAGGCAGUAACUUUGUUAAUAUAAAAAGCUGCUGCAGACUGUAUUCACCCAGAACCUGGCUUUGAGAUUUCCUAUUUUAGACUUUUUAAAAAAAAACGUAAAUGAAAAGAUGGAUGUAGUAGGACUGUGUCUUUACUGUAAACAACUAGUCUGCAUGCUGUGUAUCUCACGUUGGAAGUUUGGCUUUCAUAUUGCUGUGCAGGUCAGUAUUGAAAGAUCUGCCUAUGAAUUAGACUUCCAAAAUGCAAAUAAUAUGUGUAUGCAUAUAUUUAUAUAUAAAAAAGUCUCUCUGAAUACAGUCUUUACAGAUUCCCCAUUGCAUAAGGCAGGUGUCAUUUAAAAAGACAAUUAGCACUGACUGGCUUCAGUGCACUAAAGCGCACCUCAGAAUUUGGACUCGGAAAGGGUGUAGAAUUCUGCAUUCAACCACCUUUUGAAAGAAAUGCUACAUUCUGACCAGCCAGAGGACAAACUAGUGCUCCAAUAUACCAGUGGCACCCAGAGAGAACACUACAGGACUGUGAAAAACUGUUAUCGUUAAACAUGAGCAUAUGGUAGCAACAGUUGAGCCUCAGAAAAGUUCACCUGUCCUCUAUUCUACUCCAAAAUUUUGUAUUUGCUUAUAAAUUGUGAAACAAUGAAAAUCACCUCAAAAAGUUGGUUUUUUCUUUGCAGUCUUACUCUAGAGAAAACGUUUUUGAGACAAAAUCAGACUGAGUUGAACUUGUAGUGUGAACAUUUGUCUUCUCAGAUGUAUUCUGAUUAUUACAAAAACACUUACAAAAUUACAUGCGGUUUUAGUUUAUCACUAAAAAUUCCACUCAGCUUGCCUGCCCUUAGCAGCACCUUACCACCCCCCUCACCAGGACAAAUCUGUUCCGUAUACUUACUUACUGUAAUGAUCUGCAUGUUCCCUUCGUCAUAAUCAGAAAUUGCUCUCCCCCCAUCUGAAAUAAUAAUCUGACCUUUUAAGAUGCCUAAUGUAUCCAGUAUUCAAAGGAAAACCAAACAAUCUGGGAAGCCUUAAUAAAAAAAGAGAAAUCAUUCAACAUCUUAUUCACCCCUGUUCCCCUGAGAGAGAAAGGGAACUGAGGGCAAGAACUCACUAUAUCAUUAAGCUGGCAAAAGCUUUGGAGAGACUGUAAUUUGUCUUGUUAAAUGAAACCUUGGUAAAAUGGCAAACACAACAGAGUGUAGUUUCCUACAGAAAUAUGAAGCAGGAGUUUGAAGAUGUGCUCGAGUCACAUACUCUUGCAAGCGAGACGAAAGGGAGAAAAAUAUAGAGGGGAAAUAGAAAGGCUUAAAUACAACUGAAAAGGUUAAGUGUGGUUAUUUACAACAGAUACUGUAGGAUGGUAAAUUAGAUAUGAUGCUAAAAAAGGCACAGCUUUCCCUUUCUUAAAUACACUGUAAACGGUUCAUUAUGCAUGCAGAACAUUUCACUUUACAAAAAAAUUACCUUGUUUGUUUAGACAAAGAUAGUACUUAAAUAGUCUCCAGCAAAAUAGAGUUCUUUCAAAAAUACUUUCCCAUUCAUCCUAUUAACCAUUAAAGAGUUUUUUUUGUCUCAUUUACAAAAGUUCCUUACACCUUAUUUCAGGUCCUUCACAAUUUAUACAUACAGCAAUGUACAGUACAGCAAAAGACUGCAAAAAAUUAUUUGUAAAGCCAGCACAAUAGAUACUAUAAAUUGAUACCAGGGCAUUUGUUUUCGCAUCUCAUCCUUUGUAAUUAAAUAGUAAAUGGACACUUAACACAGUGUAUAGCAUCUAUGAUGGGAUAACAUGAGAUAACAAAUGCCGCAGGUGGGGAUAACAGAGUAUUCCACACCAAAUGUUCUGUUUUUACUUUACACAUUAGGGUUUGUGUGUGUGUAUAUAUGUGUGUAUAUAUAUAGGUUUUGUUUUUGUCUUUUUUUCUUUUUUU